rnacentral:rRNA from 1 species
UACGUAGGGUGCAAGCGUUGUCCGGAAUUAUUGGGCGUAAAGAGCUCGUAGGCGGUCUGUCGCGUCUGCUGUGAAAACUCGGGGCUUAACCCCGGGCCUGCAGUGGGUACGGGCAGACUAGAGUGCGGUAGGGGAGACUGGAAUUCCUGGUGUAGCGGUGAAAUGCGCAGAUAUCGAGAGGAACACCUGCGGCGAAGGCGGGUUGCUGGGCUGACACUGACGCUGAUGCGCGAAAGCCAGGGGAGCGAACGGG